rnacentral:lncRNA from 1 species
CUUUUGUGUGGAUAAUAAUAUAUUCAUGUUCUUUCAAUAGGGUAAAAGCCAGACCUAGUGCAUUAUGGUACAGUAAAAAUAGCAGAAGGAGCUUGCUGGAAUAAUCUUGAAGAAGAAAUGUAGUAUUCGGUGACUUAAGCUUUCAGCUCCCAUCUGAAAUUGUACUUUGCUUUUAUUUGCGAGCUGGGCUUUAGUUGUUGAUUUGUUGCUGCUAUACAAUAUUUGGUUAAUUGUGGAAGAUCUCAAGCUGUGCUCAUCACUGCUCCCGCGAAGGCUGCUGCCAGCUGCUAGAAGCAGAGCCUGCUGCUACAGGAUGUACACUAUUCACAGGAGCAGCCUCUCAGCGCUGAUUAUCACUGAAGAGGUCCUCGCUCUCCAUCGCUGCACCCUGCGCGCAGCCGGACUGCCGAGCGCGGGAGGAAGGCUCUCCCCUCUCCUCAGGCCCAUGAAGAGUCUUGAUGAGCGAUGACUUCACGUUGUUCAGCAUGGGAACCUGUCUGCAAACCUGAGGCCUUAAUACUUGCUUUAAUACCUCAGCUGAAGAUAACAGAAAGUUCAUUUGCUGCUGACUGCUGAAAUGAAGCUUGCUUUUCCAUCACAUUCUUAUAAUUUUUCUGCAAAUCCAGUGUGUUGUAAGGAUUAAUAAGACAUUUCUGGUUUUCUCUCAGAUACUAAUCACUGUUUUAUAAGAAAAUUUUCCAUCAGUCAUACUUAUUCUUGCCAUUACGUGGUAGCACAGAAGCUGUUUGAAUGUGGCAGAAAGCAAAGUUCACCUAGAAGCAAAAUCAUUGUUUCCGGAUGUGGAGGAUUUUUCAAAACUUAGCCCUUCAGUUAAAAUGAGCAAGAGCAUUCCCCCUUGCUGGGGCUAAUGCAUUGGGUAGUUCAGUGCAGAUGGAAUUUUUUAAAAAUACAGCAAGAAAUCUUCCCCAAGAGUCUUUAGUUACAAAUGGAAACUACCAGACAUUUAAAAUCAGGGGAUGCUCUGUAUUCUUGUCAUGGGGCUAAUCUUGAAAAGUAUGACUCAAACUUUACAGAUUUCAAACGUUGUGAAUGUUAACUGAAAUGUAAUAAAAAAUCAUAGUCAUAAGUAUGACUGCUCUUU